GCACAGUAGCUGCAGCUUAUCCUAAUGCGCUCCAGAGUUGAGCCACAUCACGCAGCGCCGCCGUUGCGGAUUUGCCCAGCUCCAGGCUGCGGCCGGCCGGCUCCAACGAGUAGCUCCCAUACGGCAGCGCGCGCAGCGCCCAUAGCUCCCACGCGGCGGCGACCGGCGGCGCCAGGUGGCCAUAGCUUCCACAGGCCUGCGUCCAGCGGCGCCCAUGUUGGCUCUCUUCGGUUAUACCGACGACAGAACCGAAUCGUCGGUGGACCGAACUCUCGGUUAUUGGUUUCUCAGAAUAUCGAUCGGUCAGUAAAAUCUGUAAACCGAAUUCCAAAAUUAACCGAGGUACCGAACCGAUCGGUUCGCUGUAACCGAAUGCCCAGUCCUGUCCUCGCCCGAUCCCCAACCUACGGAUCUCCCCAGUCCCAGCGACGCCGAGCUCCCCCUGACCCUGCCUCCACCCGACGUCGCCGCCCCCGCCCCCUCCCACUCCCGCCCCGCUGGCAAGCCGGGCGCCGCCAUGCCCGACCUUCCCUUUGACCGAUAUCCUCCUUCCUCACCGUCGACAUCGUGGGAGCACCCAUCCCGCUGCCCAGACCCUAGCCGGUGACGCCGCCACCGCCACGCAGCCGCAGCCACGCCCCUGUCGGCGGCGCCGCCGCAGCCCCACCCCCGCCGGCGACGCAACCGCAGCCCCGACCCCAGCCGAUGACGCGCAACACCACCUGCCAGAGCACCUCGUGGAAGCCCGAUCCGGCGAGGAUCCUUCACCACCCUCCACUCUCCGGCGACCACCAGCCCGCGUGCGGAUGGUGUGCUAUCCUGCAGAUCGAGGAGGCGUCGAACUUCAGAUGGAGGAGGCCACAACCUGCAGCUGGCCGCGCCAUGGUUGCGCGUCGCCGGCAUGCUCCGUCACGCUCGGCACCUCCUGAGCGUUGGAGUGAAGGUCGACUCGGCAUUUUCUUCAGGGCAGUGGAGAGCACCCUCACCCUGAUCCCAUCUGCAGCAGCGCCCCGAGUCCUCCCAAAGCAGCCUUGAGCCGUUCAAGUAUGCAGCCCCGGGUCGUUCAACAACGGAGCUGCCGACCGUUCAUGAACACAACACCCCGGAUCCUGCUGCCCACCAUCCUGUAAAGGGAGACUUAUUGUGAAGACUUCAAACUGAGUACAGAAGACUCGAUUAAUUUUUGCUCCCUUCUUGAAAGGAAGAGGGGAGUUGGUUCUCUUUUGAGGUUGCGACUCGAUUAAUCGAUUAAUUACAGCUUAUUUUCGACCUUCCUGUGCUAGUAGAUCUUUUCCCAAUUCUGAUCUUCUUUCGGUUGCUGUUUGGAUUUAUUCCCUUCGCUCUUCUUCGACCGCGCUCAUAAAUACGGCCUUGUAAUCUUGUGGAAAGGAGCAGUGCAGUGCAUGUGAAUACAUAUGGCCUGAAGUUGCUAUAAUUGUCCAAAAUCCGGUGUUUGCUGCUGCAAUCCGAGUGAAGUAUAUUUGGAAACAUGCCUGCCUCGAGUCUUCUACUCUGGUAUGCUCGCAUCACACGGUAUGACAAUAUACUACACAAAAUAGCAUGGGAGUGAUUCCUGCAAAAGCUCAAAUUCUGCUGACAAGUUGUGUGCUGCGUUUGGCACUUUUCAGUCCUGAACCAGCAGUCCUCGAGGCAGGAUGUACUACUACCUGGACUCAUCUGCCCCGGAGGCACAACACGAACCAAGCCCCAUGUUUCUCAGUGACUGACUCAGUAGUCCUUGAUGGUUGAACAUCCGGCAGCUAGCCCGUACUGCACCACCAUAUCUUGCCAUCUUAUGAUCCCAGCAAAAUGUUGAAGUAAAACACACACCACCAGGAGGAGAGUAUAUGUCAAGGAAGGACUGGUGAAAUAGCAGGGCAGAGAUGCCACAGUAAUGCUGAGCCGGAGUGGUAGCGUGUGUGCGAGAAGACUCGUUUGUUUGGGUUGGGGAGCCAGCCGAGCCAACGCACACUUGGUGGACAGUCUAUCUGGUUCGUACGCCCGGCCAUGAUAUUGUGUCCGAAAAGAAGACUCAAAUGGGCACGUUCAACUACUGUGUCCCCAGCCAUGAAAACUUGUGGCCCGUCAUGGUCUCCUUACACCUAAACGGCUACCUUUUUUCUAUUAGUGAAAUUUCCUCUGUUUUGGAUUUAUGAAGAUGGAACAGAUCACUGUUUAGAGUUUUGUUGGUA